rnacentral:misc_RNA from 1 species
AACGCACCUUGCGCUCCUUGGUAUUCCGAGGAGCAUGCCUGUUUGAGUGUCAUUAAAUUCUCAACCUCACCAGUUUUGUAAUGAGACUGUGUAAGGCUUGGAUGUGGGGGUUUUUGCAGGCUGCCUCUGGCGGUCUGCUCCCCUGAAAUGCAUUAGCGAGUUCACUAAGCUCCGUCUAUUGGUGUGAUAAUUAUCUACGCCGUGGAAGGGGUUUAGACUUGCUUCUAACCGUCUGCAAAGACAACUUUUGACAAUUUGACCUCAAAUCAGGUAGGACUACCCGCUGAACUUAA